rnacentral:siRNA from 1 species
UGACGUACUCUUUUACGAUGC